GUCUAUGGCCAUGUUACCUUGAACAAGCCUGAUCCUGUUUGAUCUUGGAAAAUAAGCAGGGUCAGGCCUGGUUAAUAGUUUGAUCUCGGAAGGGAAGAUAAGCAGGGUCGGGCCUGGUUAAUACUCAGAUGGGAGACCAUUUAGAAAGACCAAGUGCUGUAGUUG
rnacentral:rRNA from 1 species